CCUAAAAUACGUUUUUCUUUGCAGACAGAAAACAUGGAUACCAUAGACUUGUAGGCUUAUCUCUCCAGCUUUCCAGACCGGAGAGAAGUAUGGCCAUGGAAAGACCACUAGAGUCCUGUAGUAUUAGAAUUAUGUCUAUAGCAGGUGAUCUAUGCAGUCUCAUUUAAUUAGCACUAUUUAAUGUAGCUUUUUAUUUGUUGAGCUCAUGAUGUAUUGUGCUUUAAGAUCUCUCUGCUGUAGAUCUGCACUUUAGCACCACUGCACCAGAGGUUGAAAUAGAGGAUUAGACUGGACCAGAGGUUGAAAUAGAGGAUUAGACUGGACCAGAGGUUAAAAUAGAGGAUUAGACUGGAACAGGUUGAAAUAGAGGAUAAGACUGGAACAGGUUGAAAUAGAGGAUUAGACUGGAACACAGGUUGAAAUAGAGGAUUAGACUGGAACACAGGUUGAAAUGGAGGAUUAGACUGGAACAGGUUGAAAUAGAGGAUUAGACUGGACCAGAGGUUGAAAUAGAGGAUUAGACUGGAACAGAGGUUGAAAUAGAGGAUUAGACUGGAACAGAGGUUGAAAUAGAGGAUUAGACUGGAACAGAGGUUGAAAUAGAGGAUUAGACUGGAACAGAGGUUGAAAUAGAGGAUUAGACUGGAACAGGUUGAAAUAGAGGAUUAGACUGGAACAGGGGUUGAAAUAGAGGAUUAGACUGGAACAGGGGUUGAAAUAGAGGAUUAGACUGGAACAGGGGUUGAAAUAGAGGAUUAGACUGGAACAAAUGUUGAAAUAGAGGAUUAGACUGGAACAGAGGUUGAAAUAGAGGAUUAGACUGGAACAGAGGUUGAAAUAGAUAGAGGAUUAGACUUGCAGUAGUUGGCUAGACUCGACGAGUAGUUUAGAUGGGUAUGGGUAUAAAACUAUCAGGUUUAGACGGCUUCAGCUACUGUACUUGCUUCUCCACUUGAACUAAGUAGUUUGGUUUCAAAACCCCUACAGAGGACUCACUAACUCUCACACACACUAGUGACUGUUGUUAAACAGAAGCACGCUGGAUCCUACAUAUCCACUACCACAGCGUUUCCCAAAACUAUUGGUCCCGGCCCCAUGUGGGGUCGCCUGAUUUUUAAAAAUGGGGUCGAAAAAAAAUACAAUAAAACCGCGCUUUGUUCAUAGAACCAGGGUUACAUCGGUAGCCUCGGUAACCUCUGGUAGCCUCUAGAUACAGUUGUAAUAAACAGAGCGGUUUCUUUUUUCUUCCUACAAAUGUGGCUCUAUCUUUUAAAAGAAACAACAUAUUAUUUUUUUGAUUUAUUUAACUAGGCAAGUCAGUUAAGAACAAAUUCUUAUUUUCAAUGACGGCCUAGGAACAGUGGGUUAACUGCCUGUUCAGGGGCAGAACGACAGAUUUGUACCUUGUCAGCUCGGGGGUUUGAACUUGCAACCUUCCGGUUACUAGUCCAACGCUCUAACCACUAGGCUACCCUAUGACCCCAUCACUGAAAAAUCAGACUCUCAGGAACACGGAUGUGUCUUCUGUUUCCUUCUACAAUGGCCACAAGCCUCAUUAGAACAGAGUGGACAAGACCAGGAACUAAAUCAGCUAAAACAAUAAGUUUACAUUAGCGAUGAUUUCAUCACUUUUUUUCUACAUGGUGGAGUCGUGAUGUUUUAUUAUAUCAAAAUGGGUCUGCAGACCAAACAGUUGGAACUCAUGCAGUACCAACUACUACAUAUCUACAUGUCCUCACCCCACCACUCUGUCUGCUCCACUCUCGGUACAUUAUGAUGGACAAGAUCUAUAGGUAUUCCUUUCAGUAUUAUAGCCUUGGAAAGGAGGUUGUGUGUUACUAAACCUGGUUACCACUGAGCCAGUCUCUUUUACUGUAGUUGCUCUCAUAAUCCAUCGCAUUUAGACUCAAUAUCAACCAUGCCUUGAAUGUUUUCCCCUACAGCCUGUAUGAUAAUGCUGCCUUGCCAGCUUUACUCCAGAAACUAAAUCACUUCUUUGUAGACAAACUAUUACAUGCCCUGGCUACAGUCUCUACCCUACUCUAACUCUUACCCCCUUCUUUCAUUCCCUACUAACCUACUCUAACCCCCUUCUUUCAUUCCCUACUAACCUACUCUAACCCCCUUCUUUCAUUCCCUACUAACCUACUCUAACCCCCUUCUUUCAUUCCCUACUAACCUACUCUAACCCCCUUCUUUCAUUCCCUACUAACCUACUCUAACCCCCUUCUUUCAUUCCCUAUUAACCUACUCUAACAACUCCUUCACUGUCUCCCCAACCCCUUCUUCACUGUCUCCCCAACCCCUUCUUCACUGUGUCCCAACAUCAGCCAAGUCUGUUUUCAUGGCUCUACUUUUAGAGAAAGCAGCCCUGUUGUUCCUCAGCACCAGAUAGUGACCAGGAGAGGGCGACAUUGGACACUAGGUCACAUGACUGUGGCUUCUCUAAAACCAGACGUUCUGCCAGAUGUUCUAUAGAAUCAAAGAAGAUAUACUAACAUUCUAUUCACUACCACUAAGGCCCUUCUAACCUCUCUGACUGGUCUCCUGCUGAGGGACAGAAAGGAUAGAACUACAUUUCUCCUCAUCGUUGCCUCUCUUCCUUACUUGUGCCAUCAGUGUUCACCCAUACCCUAACUGCUCAUCAACCAUCAACUUUAUUUAACCAUCAACCUUAUUAUUAACCGUGACCUUUAUUUGCCUACCAACCCUGACCCUUUGAAUUUUGUUCCCUGGCCUAUAGAGCCACGCGACUCAGAAAAACAUAUUAUUAUUACUAUCAUUGAUGUAGGAGUCAAGUUCAUGUUUAAACUUGUUUUGUGGUGCAAUUUCAUUAAUAAUCAUAUAUUUAUUAUUGGGACCAUCAUGAGUGUAUUGUAUAAAAAUUAAAAAUUGCCUUUUUGUUACAUUUUUGCAGCGUUGCAUUUUAAUGAAGGAUUUUUAGGAUGAAGUUUUAGGUUGUUCAACAUGUGUAUAGUGAUACCAGAUCUAAAAUGCAUAUCUGCAUCUUGGACGAUACUGGAAUACUGCAGGUUUUACCCGUGUGAAUGUUUUAGCUGUUAUUGAUCAUACAUAUAGGAUGACUUCAUUGUUACUCAUGUUUGGGACAAAGCCUUACAUAUGAUUUUAAAAACACUAUCAUCUCCUGUCUUUGUCUGUGUCCGUCUGUUACACGACUACUGUUUUAAAAAGUAGCAUUAUUAUUGAAUGUUUUGACAAGUUGUCCUUAGAUCUUAUUUCAGAGGCUGGGAUGGAAGGAUUGUUUUGACAAGUUGUCCUUAGAUCUUAUUUCAGAGGCUGGGAUGGAAGGAUUGUUUUGACAAGUUGUCCUUAGAUCUUAUUUCAGAGGCUGGGAUGGAAGGAUUGUUUUGACAAGUUGUCCUUAGAUCUUAUUUCAGAGGCUGGGAUGGAAGGAUUGUUUUGACAAGUUGUCCUUAGAUCUUAUUUCAGAGGCUGGGAUGGAAGGAUUGUUUUGACAAGUUGUCCUUAGAUCUUAUUUCAGAGGCUGGGAUGGAAGGAUUGUUUUGCUUUCUGUCUAGUUGCACUUUUUGAAAUAUUUACUGAACAAGUUGAAUAAUUUUCUAAUUUCUUUGAUCAUCGUGUGGUUUAUGCUCCUCCAGAGAGGUAAUCUAGCUGUAGUCAUUUACACAGUAGAAGGCUAUAGUCUUACUGACUAUCCCAAAUGGUACCAUAUUCCCUAGAUAGUGCACAGCUCUUGACCAGGGCCCAUAGGGAAUAGGGCGCCAUUUGGUAGGUACCCUUAGCCCAUUUCUAUGAUUAGCCUUCUUCAAGCAGUGUAGAUGGACCACUCUUCCCGCUCUCCCCUUCCCUUAUAGUGUCCCACUCUGUAUAUGCUGUGUGCCUCAGACAGGCUUGUUCAUGUAGACACUCUGUGGUACGACCGGUCUUCACCUCAUUUGAGAUAUACAUUUUAACAUCUCCAGAUGGUUCUUAAAAUAGAUACUUAAAAUCUCCCUUUUUAUGGUUUUGACAAUUGAGAUCAAUGCUAAAGUAUCACAUCAAGUCACGACAUCAUCACCAACCGACACAUCUCAUUGAUCUAAUGAUCUUCAGACUUCAUACAGUCCACCUGUGGUAGAGAUGCUGAACUCUGCUCUCUCCUCUGCAUCUCCUCGCUUCUAUUCACUUCUUUGUCCUCUCUCCUCCCGUGUGUACAUCGGGAGAACUGGACUGUGUGUAUAAUUCCUGGUAGCUGUACUUUGUGAAUGUGUUCACCAUUAAGAAACUUGGAAUAAGUUUAAAUUGUCAAACCCUGUAAAAGACAAAUAAAGGAAUUCAG
ensembl:lncRNA